AGAUGAGAAAGAAAAAGGGGACGUCCUCACCUAUAGUGACAUCAACCUAUCAAGUCAGCCAGAGAGGACUGAGUCAAACACAGAGAGCGAUCCAGCUGUUAUCUACUCAACAGUGAGAAGAAAAGACACCAGUUAUGGAGAAAUAACCAUUAGCCACAUGGAUGACAAGACAAACCUCAGAGAGGAGGAUCCAGCUGUCAUUUAUUCAGACGUGAGAACAGAAGACAUCAGUUAUGGACAGAUAGUCAUCAGAAAAAACAGGAACAGAGAGCCUCAACCAGAGCCAGACAGCAUCUACUCCUCACUGAGAAAAUCUAAGCAAUAACACCAGCUGCCAUCGAUGUCGUCACUCACAGACUAAUGACUAAUAGGUGCAGUAGUAUUUAUGGGGUUGCUUAUAAAGUCACAGCAGCAAUGAUGCUUCUCUGCAGUCCACCACCUUCACCUGACGUGAUGCAUCAUGUGGCUUUCACAAUACUUCCAGCGCUAUUUGUUCAUGUUGUGGUUAAAACAAACCUCACUUCAGAGCUGCAAAGAGAGAGAAAAAACCCACAGAGGAAGCAGCAGUAGGCUGCAGAGUGAAAAAAGUGUGAACCUUGCUUGUUUUUUCUUUGUGUUUGAUGACUUGUUGGUUCAUUUUUUUUACUUUUAAACACACAUAUGAGUCUAACAUGGUUAAUUGUGUCCAUGGACCCACAAACAGGAUUAAAGACAAGCAGCAGACAUGAAAUGUACUUAAGAUUAAUGCAAACAAAUAAACAUCAACUCGUUUGAUUGGUUCUUGGAGGUUAUUUAUUAGUUUCAGACUUUAUUAGUUUCAGAGGAACACAUCAAAUGGUAUGUGGGUGACCAAACAUUUUCAGUUCCUCUUUGAAUCCUCUUCAGGUUUGUUUAAAUAGGUCAUUCACAUAGUUUAUGAUUUCCUACAGCAGCGGCUCACUAUGAUUUCAUUCAAAGACUUUAAAAUUAAGUUAUGGCAACCUGUUUGCUGAUUAUAUCAAAUAAACUUCAGUGCUUUGUAUAGUUAUCAAAACAAGAGAAAUUGUUUUAUAUUUGGGUUAUUUAUUUUUCAUUCAUUGACACAUUUAGUCACCUGGUGUCUGGGAUUGUGUCGAGGAAGCUUGUUUGAGAUGUAAAACAGUGAGUUUUUAAUAUAAAUA